rnacentral:misc_RNA from 1 species
GUUAAAUCCUCAGAAAUGUGUAAUUCAUGCAAUUUAUAUACUGCAAUGAAUUUGUGUGUAAUCUUGUCAUACAAAUUCUGGUAAAUGUUUUAAUUUAGUAGAAUAUAUUAAACAAAAGUUUAGUGCAAUGUGAUAUUUGAAAAGAAAAUUCUUUAUCAAUUAUAUGUAGUAUUAAUAGCAAAAAUAUUUAAAUAGACCUUAAAAUUAUACAUUAAAAAUUAUUUUUUCCCCACUAAUACAUAUUGUGAGAGUUUUGCAAAUAGAUUUGUUUGUUAAAUCAAUAUCUACAUUAAGUUACAAAUAUUUCCAUAAUAUUAAUAUUCGAUUUUGGCCCUCUCAAGAUAAAAUGCUACUGGAAAUAAGCAUUGAAUCCACAAAAGAAUAUUCAUGCAAUCACUAUGAUCUUAGAAUAAACUUGGAAAACUAAUAUAUCUAGUCAACCUAGAUUUUGAAUUUGCGGUGUUGAGAGAAUUAAGAAUGAUAGCUUUUUUAUUUUCCAUUAAAUCCCUAAACUUGAAAAGACUUUAUAAGCCAACUAAGGAAAAACCAUCUUAACGAGCUAUAGAUUUGCUGCCAUACCCAUGUAAAAGACAACACAACAUCGACAAGGUAAUAAGUUUCCAAUAGCUACACAUGGUCCCAUCAAAGUAGGAUAUGGAGGGAGAAAAUGAAGAUAGUUCUACCCAUAUUUUUGCAUGAAAUGGUUCCUCUCAAAACUUGAACCUACAUCCUCUUAGUUGUAAGUCCAUGACAUUCAUUAUUACACCAAGCAAUGGUCCUUAGGUUUCCAUGUGUUCAAAAGGUAUAUUAGCAAUCAAAUAAUCAGCAAUAGUAGCAAACAAGUGAUGAGGGGCAUACAAGGUGGUUUGCUGGAAGGGGAUUUUCAACAACAUGGAACUCAGACAAAUGGCUAGAAUCGAU